rnacentral:rRNA from 1 species
GAUAAGGAGCUUGCUCCUUUGACGUUAGCGGCGGACGGGUGAGUAACACGUGGGUAACCUACCUAUAAGACUGGGAUAACUUCGGGAAACCGGAGCUAAUACCGGAUAACAUUUGGAACCGCAUGGUUCUAAAGUGAAAGAUGGUUUUGCUAUCACUUAUAGAUGGACCCGCGCCGUAUUAGCUAGUUGGUAAGGUAACGGCUUACCAAGGCAACGAUACGUAGCCGACCUGAGAGGGUGAUCGGCCACACUGGAACUGAGACACGGUCCAGACUCCUACGGGAGGCAGCAGUAGGGAAUCUUCCGCAAUGGGCGAAAGCCUGACGGAGCAACGCCGCGUGAGUGAUGAAGGGUUUCGGCUCGUAAAACUCUGUUAUUAGGGAAGAACAAAUGUGUAAGUAACUGUGCACAUCUUGACGGUACCUAAUCAGAAAGCCACGGCUAACUACGUGCCAGCAGCCGCGGUAAUACGUAGGUGGCAAGCGUUAUCCGGAAUUAUUGGGCGUAAAGCGCGCGUAGGCGGUUUCUUAAGUCUGAUGUGAAAGCCCACGGCUCAACCGUGGAGGGUCAUUGGAAACUGGGAAACUUGAGUGCAGAAGAGGAAAGUGGAAUUCCAUGUGUAGCGGUGAAAUGCGCAGAGAUAUGGAGGAACACCAGUGGCGAAGGCGACUUUCUGGUCUGUAACUGACGCUGAUGUGCGAAAGCGUGGGGAUCAAACAGGAUUAGAUACCCUGGUAGUCACG